rnacentral:rRNA from 1 species
GAUGAACGCUAGCUACAGGCUUAACACAUGCAAGUCGCGGGGCAGCAUGUUGGUUGCUUGCAACCGAUGAUGGCGACCGGCGCACGGGUGAGUAACACGUAUCCAACCUGCCUAUUACCACGGUAUAACCCGAUGAAAGUCGGCCUAAUCCCGUAUGUAGUCUUCCAAUGGCAUCAGCAGUAGACGAAAGGUUUAGCGGUAAUGGAUGGGGAUGCGUCCGAUUAGCUAGUCGGUGAGGUAACGGCUCACCGAGGCUACGAUCGGUAGGGGUUCUGAGAGGAAGGUCCCCCACACUGGAACUGAGACACGGUCCAGACUCCUACGGGAGGCAGCAGUGAGGAAUAUUGGUCAAUGGGCGAGAGCCUGAACCAGCCAAGUAGCGUGCAGGAUGACGGCCUUAUGGGUUGUAAACUGCUUUUAUGCGAGGAUAAAGGUACCCACGUGUGGGUGUUUGCAGGUAUCGCAUGAAUAAGGACCGGCUAAUUCCGUGCCAGCAGCCGCGGUAAUACGGAAGGUUCUGGCGUUAUCCGGAUUUAUUGGGUUUAAAGGGAGCGUAGGCUGUUUUUUAAGCGUGUUGUGAAAUGUACCGGCUCAACCGGUGAUGUGCAGCGCGAACUGGAAGACUUGAGUGUGUUGUAAGUAGGCGGAAUUCGUGGUGUAGCGGUGAAAUGCUUAGAUAUCACGAGGAACUCCGAUUGCGUAGGCAGCUUACUGUCUCACUACUGACGCUGAUGCUCGAAAGCGCGGGUAUCGAACAGGAUUAGAUACCCUGGUAGUCCGCGCGGUAAACGAUGGAUGCUCGUUGUUGGUAUUUAUAUAUCAGCGACCUAGCGAAAGCGUUAAGCAUCCCACCUGGGGAGUACGCCGGCAACGGUGAAACUCAAAGGAAUUGACGGGGGCCCGCACAAGCGGAGGAACAUGUGGUUUAAUUCGAUGAUACGCGAGGAACCUUACCCGGGCUUGAACUGCCGGCGAACGAUUCAGAGAUGAUGAGGCCUUUCGGGGCGCCGGUGGAGGUGCUGCAUGGUUGUCGUCAGCUCGUGCCGUGAGGUGUCGGCUUAAGUGCCAUAACGAGCGCAACCCCUUUUUAUAGUUGCCAUCGGGUAAUGCCGGGCACUCUGUAGAUACUGCCACCGUAAGGUGUGAGGAAGGUGGGGAUGACGUCAAAUCAGCACGGCCCUUACGUCCGGGGCUACACACGUGUUACAAUGGCGCAUACAGAGAGUUGGUUGUAUGUAAAUACGGUCUAAUCUUGAAAGUGCGUCUCAGUUCGGACUGGGGUCUGCAACCCGACCCCACGAAGCUGGAUUCGCUAGUAAUCGCGCAUCAGCCAUGGCGCGGUGAAUACGUUCCCGGGCCUUGUACACACCGCCCGUCAAGCCAUGAAAGCCGGGGGCGCCUGAAGUCCGUGACCGCGAGGGUCGGCCUAGGGUGAAACCGGUGAUUGGGGCU